CAGGGUCAGAGCUGCAAGACCGGCCCCAAGCGGGGUGCCUUGGAGGCGUGGAGCCACUCCAGCAACAUCUGGUUCCCAGCAGCCGAGCAUGCCCCUCAGGACUAUCUUUAACAUGCUUCUGGCUCUGGGCUCUACCGUCCAAAAGGCAAGAAGCCCCAGCAUGGACCUUUUUCAUUCCUGAUUGUCACCAAGGGUAAGUAAGGUGCUAAUUCCAUCCCAGAAGAGUCCAAUUCAGUUCCAUCCAAUCUAGGUUAUUAAAGCCCC